GUCCUUGUAGAUCAGCGGUAGAUCACCCACCUCAAUUGUGUAGAAAAAGGAAAUCCAAUUCCGUGGACGACGCGGGUUCGAAUCCCGCCGGGGGCA